GGUACCUUAAAGGAAACAUGAGACAAACAAUGAAAAUCUUGACAAAGACAUUCGAAGGAAACAUGUAAAUGAUGGAAGUAUUGUGUCUGCAAAUGCACAAGCAUUUAACAAUGAGAUGAUACAAGUAUACAACCAAUUAGCCAUAUCAUUUAAGUGUCCCAUUGAGCAUAUCAUAAUAACUAGCCCAACUAAUUAAGAUUGGCAUGGCAUGGAGAUCGAAUUAAUGCAUCAUGAUUCAUCCAUGCAAGUAAAACACAAAAAGGCUGGAACCAAAGUUCUAAUGGACUAUUUUAUUUUCAUCGUUUAUUGAAGCUAGGGAAGCAAAAAAUGAAAGAAGCUUCUGGAAAUCCUAGCUAUUCUUAGCAUGAUUUUGGGGAAUCUCCUUGCUAUUACUCAAAUCUCCUUGCUAUUACUCAAACAAGCAUGAAAUAUAUGCUUGCAUAUUCGUCCAUAGGCCAAAUCGGAUAUGUAAUUAUUGGAAUAAUUGUUGGAGACUCAAAUGAUGGAUAUGCAAGCAUGAUAACUUAUAUGCUGUUCUAUAUCUCCAUGAAUCUAGGAAACGACGAGAUUUAGUAUCCUUUCUUGCAUUUUCAUAACUCGUGAAAUGCCGAGUAGGUACGAAUUCCCCCAAGCGACCUACCAUAGGAUUUGUUAUGUAAAUCUUUACUACUACUUAAUUUCGAGUCCGUCCGUCAGCCCGUCAUUCUCUUGUCUCCUCCCAGUCCCGCCCGAGUCGCCCGCGUUUCUCCUCCUCUGGCACAAAAAAGGAAAAACCAAUCCCCCCUUCUCCUCUCCAUCCGAUCCCCUGCUGCCCUGCACCUCCGCAUCUCCUCCACCGCGCUGAUGCUGCCCACCUCUCCCCCAAACAGACAGCGUUGUCUUCUCCCCGCAGACGAUGCCGGCGCCCUCCACCGCGGUCCGCUGUCGUCGCCCUCCCCCGCGGCUGCCGCUGCCCUCACCCUCGCACUCCACCACGGACGUCGCCGGCCGCCAUCCUGCCUACCGGGCUUGUGGAACACUAGAUGCGUGGCAUCACUGACCAGACGAACCGGAGUUGCGGAGCACCAGAUGUGGGCGGGCACGGCUUCACCGGCGACGGCAUCACGAUGCAGUCAAGGUUUCUCCUCUCUCCUCGCCCCGAUUGUCAGCAUGGGCACCAAACAACAGAGUUGCAACCUGCAGUUCCCGCCCUGCUCCUAGCGACCCGCCUCCCCGUGUUUAUCCGAAUCACAAAUUAAGGUAGAUCCUCUCAUCACCGUCUUCGUUGAUUCGUAGUCACAUCAGCUGUCAGCCAAUCCAUGUGAACUGAGCCUUGGCUAAUAUUCCACAUGCUACACACAUUCCGAUUUGAAGCCCAAACAUGAAGAAGAUUAAUUUUAACUGUGCUGUAUGAUGUAUGCCGGACAAUUUAGCAAAAUUACUUUAAUUUUUUCUCAUGAAUCGUUAGUUUGCCACAAAUCCAUAAUAUAUGCAAGGCUAUUUUCUAGAAUUUGUUUGAAAUUUUUUCCCCUUAAAAUUUGUAGUUUGGCAUAAAUCCAUAUAUUGCAUGAUAUCAAGACUGUGAUUGUAAGAGAUGCAAAGCUAUUUAGGUGGUGCUAUGCCACCAUUUAUGUUGCCUUCAUUUUACGCUGAGGUUAUAUUAUGAUUUUGUUUCCUGUUCAUGUAAUUCAAUUCAGAGUUUUAUUUCCCCCUUGCAUAAUGAAGGCAUUUCUUUACUGCUCUCAAGAACGUCCAUAUAAAAUGUAAUUUGCAUGCAUUUUUGUUUCAAAAUGUUAAAAGGUUUCAAUAAUGGUUUCUCGGUAACAGUCUUUAUGCACUAAUGACUUUUUUGUAAAUAAGAGUGGAAUUAACCAUGAACUUCAGUCUUCUAAAUGGAGGGUUGAGUAGUUAGUUUUUUGUGUUUCUUUUCCUCUUUGAAAAUUAGGUAGGAGUAUUUAAUCAUUUACCUGGAAUAGAUGGCGGUUUGAGUAUUUAGCUUUUGGUUGUUUUUAGUUUCCAGAUUAUCCUCUUUUAUCUUUACAAAUAGGCAGUUUUUUCUGUCUUGGUGCCACCUUCUCUGGGCAUACUGCAAUGUAAAAUCUACUGACACUUAUUUUCCAGAUGGUGCUUCGAUUCUGAUUAGCAAAUAAGGUGUUUCAUGAGUAAGUGUGCGAUGAUAAAAAUUGUCAUGUCCUUUAAUUUGGUCGGUGUCAACUAUUUCUAUUGUAUUGCUAUAACAGUUGCCUGCUUUUUUUGUUGGGGACAAGCAUGCUGACGUGAGGCAUAACCGCUGCCGAUGCGAAGCGGAAGCGAGGACAGUUCCUUUAAUUUCUGGUUGUUUUAUACUCACUAUGUAAUGUUUGUUUUUUCUGCUAUUUUAUGUAUAAUCUAGAGAUCAUGUAUGCCUCUUUGAUGGAUUUAAGUUAAGUCACCUGCUGGAGCAGCUUGAGGCCAGGCUGAUGAUACAGAAAACGAAGCAAACAAAUUUCAUCGAAUCAAGAACUAUCUUCAUGCCAAGUUAUCAGAGCAGUAAAGAAAUGCCAUUGAGAUGGGUCUGAUUUCAGAGCACACAAGUCAUCCCAUGCAUUGUCUUUCAGGGGCUAACAAUUUGGUACCAAUUGAAAUUACUCUGAAGUUUGCAAACAAGAUUAAGGCGAAUGAGAGUUUUUCUGCAUACAUAGUACUUCCUGUGUAGCCCGAGGAUAAGCCAACUGGUGCUCCUACACAAAGAAUUCUUUACUCGCAGGUAAUGGAUCGACUCACAGUCCAUCGUUGUUGGCGUCAAAUAUGUAGCAUAUAUUUCACAUUACCUGAUCGUCAUUGCCUCGGGGACAGUAAAUUGCUGUUGUUAUGUUCACGUGUCGAUUGUAUUAUUUGUUUUCCUCUCACGGUGUGACGAGUACUUGGAAUAUGUACAUGUAGAUAAGAGUAAUGCCUUGUUAUCCGAUACAAUGACUGCUCCAUACAUGUUAAUCCUUUCAUGUU